AUGGAGCUUGCUCUAGUGUACCUUAGCAGCGAACGGGUGAGUAACACGUAGAUAAUCUGUCCUAUAUUGGGGGAUAGCCCGAUGAAAGUUGGAUUAAUACCGCAUACAGCUAUAUAGUUGCAUGAUUAUAUAGUGAAAGAUUUAUUGAUAUAGGAGGAGUCUGCGGCACAUUAGCUAGUAGGUGAGGUAAGAGCUUACCUAGGCGACGAUGUGUAGCCGGUCUGAGAGGAUGAACGGCCACAAUGGAACUGAGACACGGUCCAUACUCCUACGGGAGGCAGCAGUGGGGAAUAUUGCACAAUGGGGAAACCCUGAUGCAGCAACGCCGCGUGAGUGAAGAAGGUUUUCGGAUUGUAAAGCUCUGUUAGCAGGGAAGAGGAAGGACGGUACCUGCAGAGGAAGCCACGGCUAACUACGUGCCAGCAGCCGCGGUAAUACGUAGGUGGCAAGCGUUGUUCGGAAUAACCGGGCGUAAAGGAUGCGUAGGCGGUUAAAUAAGUUAUAUGUUAAAUAUAUAGGCUUAACCUGUAGAAAGCAUAUAAAACUGUUUAACUAGAGUGCAGGAGAGGUAAGUGGAAUUCCUAGUGUAGCGGUGAAAUGCGUAGAGAUUAGGAAGAACACCAGUGGCGAAGGCGACUUACUGGACUGUAACUGACGCUCAG
rnacentral:rRNA from 1 species